rnacentral:rRNA from 1 species
GAUGAACGCUGGCGGCGUGCCUAAUCCAUGCAAGUCGAGCGAAGCGGGGACGGGUGAGUAACACGUGGAUAACCUCCUAUAAGACUGGGAUAACUUCGGGAAACCGUCACUAAACCGGAUACUUAUCGAUAGAUCCGCGCUGCAUUCGCUAGUUGGUAAGGUAACGGCUUACCAAGGCAAAGAUGCAUAGCCGACCUGAGAGGGUGAUCGGCUAAACUGGAACUGAGACACGGUCCAGACUCCUACGAGAGGCAGCAGUAGGGAAUCGUCCGAAAUGGGCGAAAGCCUGACGGAGCAACGCCGCGUGAGUGAUGAAGGUCUGCGGAUCGUAAAGCUCUGUUAUUAGGGAAGCGGUACCUAAUCAGAAAGCCACGGCUAACUACGUGCCAGCAGCCGCGGUAAUAC